rnacentral:rRNA from 1 species
UACGUAGGCAGCGAGCGUUGUUCGGAAUUACUGGGCGUAAAGAGUGUGUAGGCGGUGCUCCCAGUCUGUUGUGAAAUCUCCCGGCUUAACUGGGAGGGUGCAGCGGAAACUAGAGUGCUAGAGGGUGGGAGAGGUAAGCGGAAUUCCUGGUGUAGCGGUGAAUGCGUAGAUAUCAGGAGGAACACCUGCGGUGUAGACGGCUUCUGGACCAUUGUUGACGCUGAGACACGAAAGCGUGGGUAGCAAACAGG